GUCGAAAAGUUACUAAGGGCGUAUGGUGGAUGCCUUGGCUCUCAGAGGCGAUGAAGGACGCGAUAGGCUGCGAUAAGCCAUGGGGAGGUGCAUAAUGACCUGUGAUCCGUGGAUCUCCGAAUGGGGCAACCCAGCCGGUUGAAGACCGGUUAUCCUGAAAAGGAAGCUAACCCGGGGAACUGAAACAUCUAAGUACCCGGAGGAAAAGAAAACAAAUAGUGAUCCCCCUAGUAGUGGCGAGCGAACAGGGGACAGCCCAAACCGGUACCGUUUCGGCGGGACCGGGGUUGUAGGACCACAACGUGGACUUCGUAUACAUAGUGGAACCCUUCUGGAAAGUUGGACCAUAGCGGGUGACAGUCCCGUACACGGCAUGUAUGCGAUACCUAGUGGUAUCCUGAGUAGGGCGGGACACGUGAGAUCCUAUGUCUGAAUCCGGCGGAACCAUCCGCCAAGGCUAAAUACUACUGAGAGACCGAUAGCGAACCAGUACUGUGAAGGAAAGGUGAAAAGCACCUCGAACAGAGGAGUGAAAUAGACCCUGAAACCGUGCGCCUACAAGCGGUCGGAGUUCCGUUUCGACGGAAUGACGGCGUGCCUUUUGCAUAAUGAGCCUACGAGUUGCUCGUCACUGGCAAGGUUAAGGGAUUAAGUCCCGCAGCCGAAGCGAAAGCAAGUCUUAACAGGGCGUGUAGUCAGUGGCGGCAGACGCGAAACCUGAGUGAUCUAUUCAUGGCCAGGUUGAAGUUCCGGUAACACGGAAUGGAGGACCGAACUGGUAGACGUUGAAAAGUCUUCGGAUGAGCUGUGAUUAGGGGUGAAAGGCUAAUCAAACUGGGAGAUAGCUCGUACUCUUCGAAAUGCAUUUAGGUGCAGCCUCGGACGUACAGUUAUGGAGGUAGAGCUACUGAUCGGGCCAGGGGCUUCACCGCCUACCAAACCCGGACAAACUCCGAAUGCCAUAACUCAAUAUCCGGGAGUGAGCGCACGGGUGCUAAGGUCCGUGCGCGAAAGGGAAAUAACCCAGACCAUCGGCUAAAGGUCCCCAAGUGUGUGUUAAGUUGAAUCUAACGAGGUCGGAUUGCACUGACAGCUAGGAUGUUGGCUUGGAAGCAGCCAUUCAUUUAAAGAGUGCGUAACAGCUCACUAGUCGAGCGAUCCGGCAUGGAUAAUGAUCGGGCAUCAAACACACCACCGAAGCUGUGGACUGCGUAGCAAUACGCAGUGGUAGAAGAGCAUUCCGGUCUGCGUAGAAGGUGUAGUGUGAGCUAUGCUGGAGCGUCCGGAAAAGAAAAUGUAGGCAUAAGUAACGAUAAGGCAUGUGAAAAACAUGCCCGCCGAUAGACCAAGGUUUCCUGAUCAACGUUAAUCGGAUCAGGGUUAGUCGGGACCUAAGGUAUAGCCGACAGGCGAAGCCGAUGGACAACCGGUCAAUAUUCCGGUACCGACCCAUAUUGCGAUGGGGUGACGAAGGAGUGAAAGGUCUCCGUGCUGACGGAAUAGCACGGUGAAGGACGUAGGUAUAACGCUGGCAGGAAAAUCCACCGGUGUUGCUGAAACCCGACAGUAGCAGGAAGCUUCGGCAGAAUGCAUUGACCCUAAUCAGACUUCCGAGAAAAACCUCUAAGCUUCAGAUAUGGGCCGCCCGUACCUCAAACCGACACAGGUGGUCAAGGAGAGUAUCCUGAGGCGCUCGAGUGAUCCGUGGCUAAGGAACUAGGCAAAUUAAGCGCGUAACUUCGGGAUAAGCGCUACCCACGCAAGUGGGUUUCAAUGAAAAGGUCCAGGCGACUGUUUAACAAAAACACAUGGCUUUGCGAAAUCGAAAGAUGACGUAUAAGGCCUGACACCUGCCCGGUGCUGGAAGGUUAAGAGGAGAGGUCAGCCGCAAGGCGAAGCUUUGAAUCGAAGCCCCAGUAAACGGCGGCCGUAACUAUAACGGUCCUAAGGUAGCGAAAUUCCUUGUCGGGUAAGUUCCGACCUGCACGAAUGGUGUAACGAUCUGGACACUGUCUCGGCCACGAGCUCGGUGAAAUUGUAGUUUCGGUGAAGAUGCCGGAUACCCGCAACGGGACGAAAAGACCCCGUGCACCUUUACUAUAGCUUCACAUUGACAUCGGCUGCCCGAUGUGUAGGAUAGGUGGGAGACUUUGAAGUUGCGUCGCUAGGCGUGAUGGAGUCAUCGUUGAAAUACCACCCUUCUGUCAUCUGAUGUCUAAUCCCUGCGAAACAGGGACACAGUGUGUGGUGGGUAGUUUGACUGGGGUGGUCGCCUCCAAAAAAGUAUCGGAGGCUUCCAAAGGUACCCUCAGCACGCUUGGUAACCGUGCGACGAGUAUAUUGGCAUAAGGGUGCUUGACUGUGAGACCGACAAGUCGAACAGGUACGAAAGUAGGGCAAAAGUGAUCCGGUGGUUCCGUAUGGAAGGGCCAUCGCUCAUAGGAUAAAAAGGUACGCCGGGGAUAACAGGCUGAUCAUUCCCAAGAGCUCAUAUCGACGGAAUGGUUUGGCACCUCGAUGUCGGUUCGUCACAUCCUGGGGCUGGAGAAGGUCCCAAGGGUUCGGCUGUUCGCCGAUUAAAGUGGCACGUGAACUGGGUUCAGAACGUCGUGAGACAGUUCGGUCUCUAUCUGUUGCGGGCGUUAGAAGUUUGAGGAGCUACCAUUAGUACGAGAGGACCGUGGUGGACGAACCGCUAGUGUACCAGUUGUCACGCCAGUGGCAUAGCUGGGUAGCUAUGUUCGGAUGGGAUAAGCGCUGAAAGCAUCUAAGCACGAAGCCCACCUCAAGAUGAGACUUCUUUUAAGGGUCGUGGAAGAUCACCACGUUGAUAGGCUACAGGUGUAAAGCCAGCAAUGGCAAAGCCGAGUAGUACUAAUUACCCGUAGACUUUGACCU
rnacentral:rRNA from 1 species